UGCCAAGUUAACAAGGUUGAGGGCCCCU
rnacentral:piRNA from 1 species